CUCGCUAUUCUGUAGAUAUUUCGCAAUGUUUGACAUGCAAAUUACACUAUGAUGUCUAAUUGCUUAAUAAUUUACUGAACAAAAAUAAAAAAAUCCUCAGACUUUGAGAAAGCACAAAACUAAAAAGCCCUACAACCUUUUUAUCGGCAAUACAAAUGAUACAUCAUAUUGAGGUUCAUUUGCCCAUUGAACACAAUCCUAAUUUAUAUUAUAAUGUCAGAUCUAUUUUCACUUGAUUUAUUUUCUGUUUAUCUCUUUUUAGCUCAAGUAAAACAGGCUUUGCUCCUGGCGUCGAAAGAAGAACAAGGAAUGCGAUUUGGUGAAGAGUUUGAAAGGCGAGUGUGGGAGCCUUGAAGGACAAGCAUUACAAGAGAAAUUGAAAUAAUAUGCAGGAUAUACAGUACCACAAAAAAUUAUCAAACGAAACAAGUAGAAAAGACAUAUAAUAAGAGUAGAAGCACUCCUGUGCAACCAUUCGUAUUUCGCUAUUUUUCGCAUCUGCGAAAUUUUCGCAGAUGCGAAAAAUAGCCGUCGUAGAAUCACUGAAUCAGGCCGUAAUGUGGACGGUGAAGUACAGCCCAGAAGACCUCCCAGGGAGAGGGGUUUUCUGCAUGACGAACAAAAUAAUCCCAUUGUUCUGAACACAAAAGGAAUUGUCAAAUAAGUGAAAGUGGAGAAAGUUUGAAACGUGGCAUUACAGCGUGGUUUUUAAGGAUCACUGUAGGUACUAAAUUUGCUAGUAAGCUGUCCCACUUUGUUUGCAAGACGAGAACCAAUAGAGAAACAGUCUGUGGUAUUCUUACCUUUGCUAUAAGACGUCCAUGUUUGUCAAAGCAAAUAUAUAGAGACUUUUUCAUGCCUCUUAUAUGAACUUUACCAAAGGAAACUGUAAGGAUUUCAAGAUCAGCUGUAUAAAAAAGACGGAAAUUCAGUUCAAUCUUUUUCAGUCAUGUUUAGUUAACAGAGCAAAACUAUAAGUUGGUGAAUAGUGAAAUUUACUGAACUCUCCAGCUCAUUCAUAGUUCGUAAUAAAUAAUAAUAACGGUAAUAAUA